rnacentral:rRNA from 1 species
CAGCGCCACAAGUGGCAACCGCGUUUAUUGGGCCUAAAGCGUUCGUAGCAGGAAUUCUAAAUCCUUUGUGAAAUCAUUGCGCUUAACGUAAUUACGUGCAGAGGAAACUGGAAUUCUUGAGACCGGGAGGAGUCAGAAGUAUUCUGGGGGGAGCGGUAAAAUGCUUUAAUCCUCAGCAGACCACCUGUGGCGAAGGCGUCUGACCAGAACGGAUCUGACGGUGAGGGACGAAAGCUAGGGUAGCGAUCCGGAUUAGAUACCCGAGUAGUCC